GGUUGUGACUCAGAGGUAGAGGGCUAGCCUAGCAUGUGUGAGGACCUAGGUUCGAUCCUCAGCACCA
rnacentral:tRNA from 1 species